UGGGGAAUUUUGGACAAUGGGCGAAAGCCUGAUCCAGCAAUGCCGCGUGUGUGAAGAAGGCCUUCGGGUUGUAAAGCACUUUUGUCCGGAAAGAAAUCCUUGGCUCUAAUACAGUCGGGGGAUGACGGUACCGGAAGAAUAAGCACCGGCUAACUACGUGCCAGCAGCCGCGGUAAUACGUAGGGUACAAGCGUUAAUCGGAAUUACUGGGCGUAAAGCGUGCGCAGGCGGUUUGCUAAGACCGAUGUGAAAUCCCCGGGCUCAACCUGGGAACUGCAUUGGUGACUGGCAGGCUAGAGUAUGGCAGAGGGGGGUAGAAUUCCACGUGUAGCAGUGAAAUGCGUAGAGAUGUGGAGGAAUACCGAUGGCGAAGGCAGCCCCCUGGGCCAAUACUGACGCUCAUGCACGAAAGCGUGGGGAGCAAACAGGAUUAGAUACCCUGGUAGUCCACGCCCUAAACGAUGUCAACUAGUUGUUGGGGAUUCAUUUCCUUAGUAACGUAGCUAACGCGUGAAGUUGACCGCCUGGGGAGUACGGUCGCAAGAUUAAAACUCAAAUGAAUUGACGGGGUCAUA
rnacentral:rRNA from 1 species